rnacentral:rRNA from 1 species
GAUAAACGCUGGCGGCGUGCCUAAUGCAUGCAAGUCGCACGGAGCGCUCUUUCGGGGGUGCUGAGUGGCGAACGGGUGAGGAACGCGUGGACAACCUAACCCCGGCCGUGGGGAGUACCCGCCCACGAAAUAGGCGGCGUAAUAACCGCGUACGGUUCGUCUGGCGAGGGGCGUGGGAAAGGAAAGACCGUGAGGCGCGCUGGGAGGGGUCGUGCGGCCGAUU